AUUGAACGCUGGCGGCAGGCCUAACACAUGCAAGUCGAACGGUAACAGGAAACAGCUUGCUGUUUCGCUGACGAGUGGCGGACGGGUGAGUAAUGUCUGGGAAACUGCCUGAUGGAGGGGGAUAACUACUGGAAACGGUAGCUAAUACCGCAUAACGUCGCAAGACCAAAGAGGGGGACCUUCGGGCCUUUUGCCAUCGGAUGUGCCCAGAUGGGAUUAGCUAGUAGGUGAGGUAACGGCUCACCUAGGCGACGAUCCCUAGCUGGUCUGGGAGGAUGACCAGCCACACUGGAACUGAGACACGGUCCAGACUCCUACGGGAGGCAGCAGUGGGGAAUAUUGCACAAUGGGCGCAAGCCUGAUGCAGCCAUGCCGCGUGUAUGAAGAAGGCCUUCGGGUUGUAAAGUACUUUCAGCGGGGAGGAAGGGAGUAAAGUUAAUACCUUUGCUCAUUGACGUUACCCGCAGAAGAAGCACCGGCUAACUCCGUGCCAGCCGCCGCCGUAA
rnacentral:rRNA from 1 species